ACGAACGCUGGCGGCGUGCUUAACCCAUGCCAGUCGAACGGAAAGGCCCUGCUUUUGUGUGGUGCUCGAGUGGCGAACGGGUGAGUAACACGUGAGUAACCUGCCCUUGACUUUGGGAUAACUUCAGGAAACUGGGGCUAAUACCGGAUAGGAGCUCCUGCUGCAUGGUGGGGGUUGGAAAGUUUCGGCGGUUGGGGAUGGACUCGCGGCUUAUCAGCUUGUUGGUGGGGUAGUGGCUUACCAAGGCUUUGACGGGUAGCCGGCCUGAGAGGGUGACCGGCCACAUUGGGACUGAGAUACGGCCCAGACUCCUACGGGAGGCAGCAGUGGGGAAUAUUGCACAAUGGGCGGAAGCCUGAUGCAGCAACGCCGCGUGCGGGAUGACGGCCUUCGGGUUGUAAACCGCUUUCGCCUGUGACGAAGCGUGAGUGACGGUAAUGGGUAAAGAAGCACCGGCUAACUACGUG
rnacentral:rRNA from 1 species